rnacentral:rRNA from 1 species
CUGGCGGCGUGCCUAACACAUGCAAGUCGCACGAGAAAGUGGAGCAAUCCAUGAGUAAAGUGGCGAACGGGUGAGUAACACGUGACUACCUGCCCUCGAGUGGGGAAUAACUUCGGGAAACCGAGGCUAAUACCGCAUAACAUCGAGAGAUCAAAGCAGCAAUGCGCUUGAGGAGGGGGUCGCGCCUGAUUAGCUAGUUGGUAGGGUAACGGCCUACCAAGGCGAUGAUCAGUAGCCGGCCUGAGAGGGCGCACGGCCACACUGGAACUGAAACACGGUCCAGACUCCUACGGGAGGCAGCAGUGGGGAAUUUUGCGCAAUGGGGGAAACCCUGACGCAGCAACGCCGCGUGGAGGAUGAAGUCCCUUGGGACGUAAACUCCUUUCGAUCGGGACGAUUAUGACGGUACCGGAAGAAGAAGCCCCGGCUAACUUCGUGCCAGCAGCCGCGGUAAUACGAGGGGGGCAAGCGUUGUUCGGAAUUAUUGGGCGUAAAGGGCGCGUANGCGGUGCGGUAAGUCUGAUGUGAAACCUCCGGGCUCAACUCGGAGCCUGCAUCAAAAACUGCCGUGCUGGAGUGUGGGAAAGGUGCGUGGAAUUCCCGGUG